GUGGCUGACUGGUAAAGCACUUGGCUUCCAAACCAAGAGGCCCCGGGUUCGAAUCCUAAC
rnacentral:tRNA from 1 species